GGGGGCACAGGCGUUCUUAAGGCUGCAGAGCCCUGGGUCCCCCACCCGGCCCCGGUUCACUUUGAGCGGUCCCAAGGCCUGAGGGCCUACUGUCCAGUCCCCAGGUUAUCGUCCUGAGCAAAGACAGACCCCGAGCCCUGCGGUCUUGGGGCUCAAACAGUCCCUGGAUGGCCAAACAAGCAAAUAUUCGCCAUGGCAGUGGGUGCUGGAAGGGUGGCUCACGGAGCUGACGCCCUCCGCAGAGAACCGUGGUCUAGUCCUGCGGUCACGAGGCCUAUCUGGGACAGUGGUGUUUGAGCUGAGACUUUAACGAAUAGAGACAGGUGAGGUUCCUGCAGCCCAGGGCUUCAGCGUGAACAACCCCAGAAGGAAAAAGAGUGCUGUUGUUAAAGGUAUCUGGCAUCAUGGACCCAACCAUCACCAGGAGUUUCUCACUUCAUCUCUGCUUUAUUGUAGUAUAAUUUGCAUACAAUAAUGGCACACAUUUAAUGUGCACAGUGUGAUAAAUUUUGACAUAUGUAUACAUCCAUGAAGCCGGCACCACAAUCAAGAUAAUGAACAUCUCGCUUACCCCAGAAGUUUCCUGUGCCCUGUCACUCCUCCGUAUUCCUCCAUCCUCAGGAUUUCAUCAAAUGGUCUGCUGCACUGUGCUGGAAUUUUGAACUCCCCAGAGUAGUAAACAACAUCUUCUCAAGGGUAUACAAGUCAUCAGAUAGAGAAAACACCCAUUAUAGAGCUGUGGAGCCCUUACGAUAUAGUGCUAUGCUGCAACAAAUUAGACAGAAGAGUAUUUGUUGAAUAAUAAAAGGUAUCAAUGAACGAACAAAUAAAUUAAUGAGCUGAUGUAUUGAUUAAAUGAAUUUACUUCUUUCAGAUUUACUUUUCCAAACUAAAAAAAAAUUGUUUUAAACUUUGUUCCAAAGUUAUACAGUUUUUACAAAAAUAAAACUUUAUUUUUGAAUUGCUUUAUAUUUACAGAAAAGUUGCAAAGAUAUGGAAAGUUGCCUCACCCUAUAAUUAGCUUCUGACAUUAGUAUGGUACAUUUGUCACAAUUAUUGAACCAGUAUUGAUGAUAUGUUAUUAUUAACUAAAUUCUAUACUUUAUAAAGAUUUCCUCAGUUUUUACCUAAUGCCAUUUCUCUGUUCCAGGAACCCAUCCCAGAAAUCACAUUUCAUAUUGAUAUCAAGUUUCCUAAGACUCCUCUUCGUAGGUACAGUUUCAGGGCCAAAAUUUUAAGGGCCUUGAGUGUUUUGAGCAGUACUGGACAGGUGUUUUUUAGGAUGUCCCUCGACUGAGCUUUGACUGAUGAAUUGCUCAUGAUUGAAUUGGGACUAUGGGUCUUCAGAAGAAAGAUCAUGAGCCCUUUUUGUCACAUCAUGUCAAAGAUACCAUGCCAUCAAUACAACUUAUUACUGAUGAUGUUGACAUUGACCACUUGACUGAGAUAACAUUUGUCAGAUUUCUCCACUGUAAAGUUACUUUUCCCCACUUUCCAUACUAUACUCUUUUGUAGGAAGUCACUAUGCACAGGCCAUACUUAAAGAGAGCUCCAUCUCCUUGAGGGCAGAGUAACUACAUUAAAUAUUUGAAAUCUUUCUGCCCAGGAGAUUUGUCUAUUUUUCCAAUUUAUUUAUUCAAUCUAUUAUUAUUAUGUUAGAUAUGAGACCUUGCUAUGUUGCCUAGAUGGGUCUCAAACUCCUGAGCUCAAGUAAUCCUUCUGUCUCAGCCUCCUGAGCAGGUGGGACUAUAGGCAUGCACCACUGCACCUGACAAUCAUUUAUUGAUGGCAGUAUGAACUCAUGGACAUUUGUUUUAUCCUUAAGUUAUAACCCAAUAUUAUAUUAUUUUAUUGCUAAAUUAUUUCAGUUUUGGCCAUUGAAGCUCUUUUGUUUAAUGCCCAUGUCAUUUUGACAUACCUCUAUCAUUGUGGGAUUUCUUUUUACUUUUUUGCAGAUAUUUCUUUAGUUUUUGGCACUACAAGAGGCUCUAGUUUCAUCAUCUAUCCUGCCCCAGCCCAAGAUUCAACCAUUUCUUCAAGUAGCCCUUGCUCUUUUUUACUGUACAUUGUAAUUAAUAAUCAAGUUCUUGGCACUAGGUUCUUCAGAAAUUUUUUUUUAGUUUAUAUGUUUGUUGAUAAGGUAUUGAUAAAGAUUCUGCUAGUGAUUACCAAUGUAACUUUUGGCAAAUUAUCUGAAACAUGGAAAUAAUAAUUUCUACUUCAUAGGACUGUUGUACAUUUUAAAUGGAUUCACUAGGAUAGUGCACGGAGUAAAAGGAAACAAAUAGUA
rnacentral:lncRNA from 1 species